GGCGCACGGGUGCGUAACACGUAACUAACCUACCCAUCAUUGGGGGAUAGCCCGCCCGAAAGGCGGAUUAAUACCGCUAUAAGACUAUAGAGUGGCAUCACUCAGUAGUUAAAGAUUUAUUGAUGAUGGAUGGGGUUGCGGGUCAUUAGCUAGUUGGUUGGGUAACUGGCUGACCGAAGGCGACGAUGACUAGGGGAGCUGAGAGGCUGGUCCCCCACACGGGCACUGAGACACGGUGCCCGACUCAUACGGGAGGCAGCAGUGAGGAAUAUUGGUCAAUGGACGCAAGUCUGAACCAUGCCUAUGCCGCGUGAAGGAUGAAGGCGUUAUGCGUUGUAAACUUCUUUUAUCUGGGAAGAAACCUGAGUAUUCUUAUUCAGCCGACGGUACCAGAGGAAUAGCACCCUGGCUUAACUCCGUGCCA
rnacentral:rRNA from 1 species